AUUGAACGCUGGCGGCAUGCCUUACACAUGCAAGUCGAACGGCAGCGCGGACUUCGGUCUGGCGGCGAGUGGCGAACGGGUGAGUAAUGUAUCGGAACGUACCAUUCAGUGGGGGAUAACGCAGCGAAAGUUGCGCUAAUACCGCAUAUUCUGCGCGCAGGAAAGCAGGGGAUCGCAAGACCUUGCGCUGAUUGAGCGGCCGAUAUCAGAUUAGCUAGUUGGUGAGGUAAAGGCUCACCAAGGCGACGAUCUGUAGCGGGUCUGAGAGGAUGAUCCGCCACACUGGAACUGAGCCACGGUCCAGACUCCUACGGGAGGCAGCAGUGGGGAAUUUUGGACAAUGGGCGAAAGCCUGAUCCAGCCAUGCCGCGUGAGUGAAGAAGGCCUUCGGGUUGUAAAGCUCUUUCGGCCGGGAAGAAAUCGUAUGGGUUAAUACCCUGUGCGGAUGACGGUACCGGCAUAAGAAGCACCGGCUAACUACGUGCCAGCAGCCGCCGUAACAC
rnacentral:rRNA from 1 species